CGAUUUCCUGCCCUUACCCAUACCGUGGGAUUUAUUUCUUUUUCAUCAUUUUCUGUUAAUAAUUUCAUUGCGACUGUUCUUCCUUUUUCACAGGUCUUCAAUCAUAAUCCUAAUUUGACUAUUAAAUCUCUCCCUAAUGUUAUAUAUGGAGUGGUAAUUCGUGUCGAGAAUAUGGUUGAUAUUAAUAAAGAAGGGGGAGAUUUAGGAAUGUGGCCAUGGGUUUGGAAAACCCCAUGAGUGAGACAACAUUAGACUCUUAACGAUGAGGCCAUCAGGAAUAUCAAAGAGUUUAGAGGGAACACAGGGUGAUUCAGGAGACUCUGUGCAGUCUCCGGUUUCUUGUUCUCCAGCUGGUUCUCUUUUUCUCCAGCUGGUAAGGCAUGGAUGUUUCUGUGUGUUUGCUGUUGUUACAUUCAAAGUUGUUUGACCAAUGAAAAGUUGUUUUGAAAAGAACUGCUGUGGGGAGAAGGGGAUAAGAGGGGAAACCGCCCUCAAGAUAAAAAAGGCAGCACGAUGAAGUUACAUCAAUAAAGAAGCAGGAAAAAGAAGUGAAGAGGAACAGGCUGGCAGAACGCAGACCAGGACGGUCUUCUGACACUUUGCUGUGCUGCAGGAGCGGGCUAGCUUGCAGCUUAACCUCCCUUGCCCCUGCUUUCAAGGGACUGGGAGGGUAAGGGGUGCAUUGUCCCAGUGCAUCCCAGCAACUCCUUGCACCUUCUGGCCGCUAGCAGCUCCUGGAAACUUCCCUCUCCGAGCUCUUGGCACCCCGAUGGCUGCGUUGGCUUUCUGCCUGAGGAGCCCUGAUGCCUUUGCUGGGAAGGGCAUCCCUUCCUGGCCAUGGUCUCAGCCAGGACUGUCUCUCCUGCAGAGGUUAGGCACAACGGAUUUGGCCACAUGGGACCGAAGAGGUGUCCUCGCACAGCCAGAGUCUGGAGGAGUCAUCGUCUUUCCCAGGAUUGGGCUCUACAUUCCAUCUGGAAGAGCUGCAGGGGGUAAUCCAGUUCAAAGUCCCGAGAAGAAGGCUGAAAAGAAGGGAGAGUCAAGGAUGGGGGAAGACUCCAACACAAAAGGUAACAUGAGAGCCGUCAUGCCCAAGACUCCGCCAAGGGUUUCUCUUACCAGCCCUCCUGUUGCCUCCUUAC
rnacentral:lncRNA from 1 species